GGUUGAAAAGUGUGAACUACUUGAAUAUGUCUUGCGGGAACGAUUGUGCAAUUGAGCAUCGUUUGCAGGUGGAUCAUUGAUCAUCAGGUGAUUCUCACGUAUGUAUGAUUCGAGUGAAUUUAAGGAAAAUGCCAAGGUCUUGACACAAAAGCUUGAGGUAAAAGUUGUUUCCUUGAGGACAAGGAAAGGUUUAAGUUUGGGGUUGUGAUGACGAAUUGUCACACUCUCUAAUCCAGGCCUAUUUUAGCAACAUUAAAUGC
rnacentral:lncRNA from 1 species